UCGCCACUUCGGAGGAAUCAUCUCAUAACU
rnacentral:piRNA from 1 species